GCCCCGGUAGUGUAGCCCGGCCAAGCACAUCAGCCUUUCAAGCUGACAGCAUGGGUUCAAAUCCCGUCCGGGGCA
rnacentral:tRNA from 1 species